UCGGCUGCUCCCGGACGCCGGGGACAGAAUCCCCUGCCGCGGCUUCCCCGCCGUAAUUACCUCACAUGGAUGGCAGCCCUGGACGGCAGCAGUCCCGCUGCCUACUCACUUUGCUUCUCCACAUAUCUGCUUUUAUUUUCUCCUCCGAUCUCCUGGGUCUGUAGAUUGUAGAUCAGGCCCUGAUUCAUGCCCUCCGUUCAUCUUCUUUGUCUUGCAUCUCCAUCAAUAUUUUCUUCGCGUGGCCAUCUUGAGGGUUUGCGUCCUCCGCUAUCGAGCCGGACAGCCCUGGAGACGGAGUAUUGUAGGACAGUUAGGCUUCUUGUCGUUGGACGACAAAGGCGGUGCAGAUCCCCUGCUCCGGGAUGGGCUGCUUUUUUCCGCGCCACCUUCGCGCUUACUUGAGGCUUUAUGGCUUAUGGACUUCAGGAUGAUAAACACAUGAAAAUCUCAGACAUGAUUCUGCACUGCAGGCUGCAUAUUGUGUCGGUGGGCAUUCAGGAAACUGGCAAGUUAUUCAGAACUCAAUUCUUGGAUGUUACUUGCGUCAUCCUACUCUGAAUCGGCAUCAUGGAGCUCCAUACAUCCACAUGCUCUUCGUCAGCCAGAGCCCAUUGCCCAGUUUAGUCUUUCCCCCGGAUC